rnacentral:lncRNA from 1 species
UCAGCUGCUGUUUGCUUGGCGAGAUAAGACAGCGCGCAGGGAGGAUGAGAGCUACGGAUAUGUUCUACCAAAUCACAUGAUGCUAAAGAUAGCUGAGGACCAUAGAGCAAAAACAGGAGAAGAAACGACUAAAAAGCUCCAAGAAAGCCAAGGACCCUGAUCCCCCAGGGAAAGACUUCAGUCCGUAUGACUACAGCCAGUCAGACUUCGGGGCCUUCGCUGGGGACAGUAAAUCCAAGCCUUCCUCCCAGUUUGACCCCAAUAAGGUGGCACCUUCUGGAAAGAAAUGUUUUGGAGCCAAAAAGUUUAAGCAGUCGGUGGGAAACAAAAGCAUGUCAUUUCCUGCUGGGAAGUCGGACAGAGGCUUCCGGCACAACUGGCCAAAGAGAUAGUCUUGGAGAGACUCCUGGGGCCGUGGACACUGCUGCUUUGUACAAAACCCAUUUUAAAAUCAUUAAAAAUUUAUUCCUACC